UCCGGUUUGUCACCGGCGGUCUCCUUAGAGUUCCCACCAUUACGUGCUGGCAACUAAGGACGAGGGUUGCGCUCGUUGCGGGACUUAACCCAACAUCUCACGACACGAGCUGACGACAGCCAUGCACCACCUGUAUAGGGCCCUUACGGACCUGCCAUCUCUGACAGUUUACCCUAUAUGUCAAACCCAGGUAAGGUUCUUCGCGUUGCAUCGAAUUAAUCCACAUGCUCCGCCGCUUGUGCGGGCACCCGUCAAUUCCUUUGAGUUUUAGCCUUGCGGCCGUACUCCCCAGGCGGGGCGCUUAAUGCGUUAGCUACGGCACGGAACCCAUGGAAUAGGUCCCACACCUAGCGCCCAACGUUUACGGUGUGGACUAC
rnacentral:misc_RNA from 1 species